GAUGAAGAACGUAGUGAAAUGCGAUAAGUAAUGUGAAUUGCAGAAUUCCGUGAAUCAUCGAAUUUUUGAACGCACAUUGCGCUCCCUGGUAUUCCGGGGAGCAUGCCUGUUCGAGCGUCAUUACAACCCUCAAGCUCUGCUUGGUGUUGGGCCCCGCCGCCCCGGCGGGCCCUAAAGUCAGUGGCGGUGCCGUCCGGCUCCGAGCGUAGUAAUUUUUCUCGCUUUGGAGGCCCGGGCGCGUGCUUGCCAUCAACCCCCAAUUUUUUUCAGGUUGACCUCGGAUCAGGUAGGGAUACCCGCUGAACUUAAGCAUAUCAAUAAGCGGAGGA
rnacentral:misc_RNA from 1 species